UACGUAGGGACCAAGCGUUGUCCGGAAUCAUUGGGCGUAAAGAGCGUGUAGGCGGCUUGUUAAGUCUUGCGUGAAAUCUCGGGGCUCAACCCCGAGCGGUCGUGAGAAACUGGCAGGCUAGAGUGCGGGAGAGGAGAGUGGAAUUCCUGGUGUAGCGGUGAAAUGCGCAGAUAUCAGGAAGAACACCGGUGGCGAAGGCGGAUCUCUGGGCCUUACCUGACGCUGAGGCGCGAAAGCUAGGGGAGCGAACAGG
rnacentral:rRNA from 1 species